rnacentral:rRNA from 1 species
UCGGACCUGGCGUUAAUGGAGCGGCCGAUAUCUGAUUAGCUAGUUGGUGGGGUAAAGGCCCACCAAGGCGACGAUCAGUAGCUGGUCUGAGAGGACGACCAGCCACACUGGAACUGAGACACGGUCCAGACUCCUACGGGAGGCAGCAGUGGGGAAUUUUGGACAAUGGGCGCAAGCCUGAUCCAGCCAUUCCGCGUGAGUGAAGAAGGCCUUCGGGUUGUAAAGCUCUUUCGCAAGGGAAGAAAACUUAUCCUCUAAUAUAGGAUGAGGUUGACGGUACCUUGAUAAGAAGCACCGGCUAACUACGUGCCAGCAGCCGCGGUAAUACGUAGGGUGCGAGCGUUAAUCGGAAUUACUGGGCGUAAAGCGUGCGCAGGCGGUUUUGUAAGUCAGAUGUGAAAUCCCCGAGCUCAACUUGGGAACUGCGUUUGAAACUACAAGACUAGAAUAUGUCAGAGGGGGGUGGAAUUCCGCGUGUAGCAGUGAAAUGCGUAGAUAUGCGGAGGAACACCGAUGGCGAAGGCAAUCCCCUGGGCCAAUACUGACGCUCAUGCACGAAAGCGUGGGGAGCAAACAGGAUUAGAUACCCUGGUAGUCCACGCCCUAAACGAUGUCUACUAGUUGUUGGGGGAGUAAAAUCCAUGAGUAACGCAGCUAACGCAUUAAGUACUCCGCCUGGGGAGUACGGUCGCAAGACUGAAACUCAAAGGAAUUGACGGGGACCCGCACAAGCGGUGGAUGAUGUGGUUUAAUUCGAAGCAACGCGAAGAACCUUACCAGGUCUUGACAUCCCUCUGAAUGGCGCUUAGCAGCGCAGGUCUUUCGGGACAGAGGAGACAGGUGGUGCAUGGUUGUCGUCAGCUCGUGUCGUGAGAUGUUGGGUUAAGUCCCGCAACGAGCGCAACCCUUGCCUUUAGUUGCCAGCACGUAAUGGUGGGCACUCUAAUGAGACUGCCGGUGACAAACCGGAGGAAGGUGGGGAUGACGUCAAGUCCUCAUGGCCCUUAUAGGUGGGGCUACACACGUCAUACAAUGGCUGGUACAAAGGGUUGCCAACCCGCGAGGGGGAGCUAAUCCCAUAAAGCCAGUCGUAGUCCGGAUCGUAGUCUGCAACUCGACUACGUGAAGUCGGAAUCGCUAGUAAUCGUGGAUCAGAAUGUCACGGUGAAUACGUUCCCGGGUCUUGUACACACCGCCCGUCACACCAUGGGAGCGGGUCUCGCCAGAAGUAGUUAGCCUAACCGCAAGGAGGGCGAUUACCACGGCGGGGUUCGUGACUGGGGUGAAGUCGUAACAAGGUAACC